rnacentral:rRNA from 1 species
UGAACGCUGGCGGCGUGCCUAAUACAUGCAAGUCGAGCGACCGGACGAGAAGCUUGCUUCUCUGAUGUUAGCGGCGGACGGGUGAGUAACACGUGGAUAACCUACCUAUAAGACUGGGAUAACUUCGGGAAACCGGAGCUAAUACCGGAUAAUAUUUUGAACCGCAUGGUUCAAAAGUGAAAGACGGUCUUGCUGUCACUUAUAGAUGGAUCCGCGCUGCAUUAGCUAGUUGGUAAGGUAACGGCUUACCAAGGCAACGAUGCAUAGCCGACCUGAGAGGGUGAUCGGCCACACUGGAACUGAGACACGGUCCAGACUCCUACGGGAGGCAGCAGUAGGGAAUCUUCCGCAAUGGGCGAAAGCCUGACGGAGCAACGCCGCGUGAGUGAUGAAGGUCUUCGGAUCGUAAAACUCUGUUAUUAGGGAAGAACAUAUGUGUAAGUAACUGUGCACAUCUUGACGGUACCUAAUCAGAAAGCCACGGCUAACUACGUG